rnacentral:rRNA from 1 species
GACGAACGCUGGCGGCGUGGAUUAGGCAUGCAAGUCGAACGGUAGGAUACCUUCGGGUAUCUGAGAGUGGCGAACGGGUGAGUAACACGUAGGUGAUCUACCCUCAAGAUUGGGACAACCCAGGGAAACUUGGGCUAAUACCGGAUGAAAGCAGCAGUGAUGUUGUUUGAAAGGUGGCGUAAGCUGCCGUUUGGGGAUGAGCCUGCGCUCUAUUAGUUAGUUGGCGGGGUAAAGGCCCACCAAGGCGAUGAUAGAUAGGCGGCCUUAACGGGUGGUCGCCCACACUGGGAUUGAGAUACGGCCCAGACUCCUACGGGAGGCAGCAGUCGAGAAUAGUCUACAAUGGCCGAAAGGCUGAUAGUGCGACGCCGCGUGAACGAAGAAGCCCUUCGGGGUGUAAAGUUCUUUUAUAUGUGAGCAGUGCUUUCUAUGUGAACAGCAUGGGGAGAGAGAUAUUAGCAUAUGAAUAAGCAACGGCUAACUCCGUGCCAGCACG